rnacentral:rRNA from 1 species
AGUCGAGGGGUAUUGUUCUUCGGAAUGAGAGACCGGCGCACGGGUGCGUAACGCGUAUGCAAUCUACCUUUCACGGAGGGAUAGCCCAGAGAAAUUUGGAUUAAUACCUCAUAGCAUAAUGAGUUGGCAUCAACACAUUAUUAAAGUCACAACGGUGAAAGAUGAGCAUGCGUCCCAUUAGCUAGUUGGUAAGGUAACGGCUUACCAAGGCUACGAUGGGUAGGGGUCCUGAGAGGGAGAUCCCCCACACUGGUACUGAGACACGGACCAGACUCCUACGGGAGGCAGCAGUGAGGAAUAUUGGUCAAUGGGCGCAAGCCUGAACCAGCCAUGCCGCGUGCAGGAUGACGGUCCUAUGGAUUGUAAACUGCUUUUGUACGGGAAGAAACACUCCGACGUGUCGGAGCUUGACGGUACCGUAAGAAUAAGGAUCGGCUAACUCCGUGCCAGCAGCCGCGGUAAUACGGAGGAUCCAAGCGUUAUCCGGAAUCAUUGGGUUUAAAGGGUCCGUAGGCGGUUUAGUAAGUCAGUGGUGAAAGCCCAUCGCUCAACGGUGGAACGGCCAUUGAUACUGCUAGACUUGAAUUAUUGGGAAGUAACUAGAAUAUGUAGUGUAGCGGUGAAAUGCUUAGAGAUUACAUGGAAUACCAAUUGCGAAGGCAGGUUACUACCAAUGGAUUGACGCUGAUGGACGAAAGCGUGGGUAGCGAACAGGAUUAGAUACCCUGGUAGUCCACGCCGU